CUACAUGGGUGGUAUGAGAGUGACUCAGUGUCUUGGAAGCCACCUCCAAAGGUAAAGAAGUCCUACAGGCCGGAGUGCCCACUCUGCCUGUCCCCAACAGAGACAAACACAAAAGCUCAAUAGGUUCGAAACCCAUGGGGCUGGGGAUGUGGCUCAGCUGGUAUGUCACUUGCCUAGCCUGCUAGAAACCUGGGAUGGAACCCCAGUGCCAGGCCUGUAGUCCCAGCACUCGGUGCAGAAGCAGGAGGGCCAGAAAUUCAAUUGGCUACACACGUUAAUCCAUCCCUGGCGGAAGAACACUCAUGACCUAAACACUCUUCAGGGCCCCAUUCUACUGACUGUGUUCGGUGCCAGCAUUGCCUGGCAGCUGUACACACCAGGCACUGGCCUAGACUCUGAGCACUCCUGGGAGAGGUUUCCACAGCUGAGGAAUUAGUUCUGCUUCAGGGAACUAAGUUGGUACGUUCAAGGCAGCUUUGUGUGGUUUGAUUUCUUGGAGAUUUGCAGAGUGGGUAAGGACCAUGUCAGUGGGCCUCCUCCUCCUCACUGCUCCUCAGAUUCUAUGUGGGGACUGUUUUCCCAAAAGACACCAGCAAGUGGGCCAUUGGGAGAGACAGAUGUCCUGCCCGCUCUGGUCCAUUGAUCUUGCCUUUUGACCAGCCCCAGGAGGAAACACAUCUGUGAUGCUGUAUCCUCUCCCCGACUCCUUAACAGGGCUGCUGAGCUGGCGAUGAGGUCUGUGGUCUAUGAGGCCCUGCCGCCGCCUGGCCUUUCAUUGAGGACCAGAAAAUUGACCCCCACACAAGCCUCUGGAAAACUGCAGCCAGAGUCUGCCCAGAGAGUCUCUUCUGUCCCCUUCUCUAGACACCUGAAGCUCCCGUCUGCACCAGCCCUAGGCGCUUGUGCCCACUGCUGCCCCACAGGUUCGAGCAGCACAGGUCCCCAAAACCUUAACCCGAGAAGGGAAAAUAUUUCCAGAUCUGAGUGGCUGCAGGGCCAGACUCGGCAUCUAUGAAUCCUUCGUUCUGUGACCUUAGCCGCAUCCGCUAAGCUGCUGCCAGGCUAGACUGCAGAAACGAACUCAAAGCAAAGACGUUGAAAAAAAAAAGAAAAAAAAAUCAAGAGGUCUGAAAUUUGCCCCAUCAAGUCUUUUGAAACCAAACUGCCCACAUUUUUAAGGGUUUGACGUCAUAACAUUCCCAAGUUAUGACAUGUGGUAAUUGUCUCUCAGGAUGCUGGUGGCCCUCAGACUGACCGCGACUCCUCUAGAGGGAACCCCUGACACAGUGUACCGUGUUGCUGAGCUGUGUUUGGUGUGUGGGGCCUUUUACUUCAAAGGUGUUCCACUUAGGUGGGUUUGUCAGGACAAAAUCUCAAGGAGUGCCUUACACAGAGGUGAGCAACCUUGCGACCAUCCAUUUGAGAAUAUCUUUAUCAUCUCAAAGAGAGACUUGGUGACUUUACUCAGCUUCGAGCCUCC
rnacentral:lncRNA from 1 species